rnacentral:rRNA from 1 species
UACGAGGGAGCUAGCGUUGUUCGGAAUUACUGGGCGUAAAGGGCUCGUAGGUGGCCAACUAAGUCAGACGUGAAAUCCCUCGGCUUAACCGGGGAACUGCGUCUGAUACUGGAUGGCUUGAGUUCGGGAGAGGGAUGCGGAAUUCCAGGUGUAGCGGUGAAAUGCGUAGAUAUCUGGAGGAACACCGGUGGCGAAGGCGGCAUCCUGGACCGGUAUUGACGCUGAGGCGCGAAAGCCAGGGGGAGCAAACGGG